UAUUUUCAAUACCCAGUAGUAGGUUAAUGACUGUUCCUUGAAGAAUGGAGUUUAUAUAACACAAGUCAUUACAUAAGGAGGCUGAUUGUGGCCUGAGGAACAGAAGGAAAACAAAUAUGCAAGAAUGCAAAACCCAGAACAAGAAAACUCUACUUUGAUGCUCCUGAGAAGCCUGAGAUAGAAACGAUACUUGGGUUCCAGCAAGGUGAAACUAACCUUGAGGACGUGGAGGUGAAGGCUCUGCACGACACGACAAGCUCCUAAAUGUGGCCUGCGUUGGACUGACCCAAUAUCUCGGUGGAAUUAAAACCGCGGGAGAACCCGAAGCACGACCUUUUGCUCGGACCUUAGAUCUCAGACGGGACAGAGUCGCACGUG